AAAAAAGAAACACAAAGCAACAAGCACAAAAAAAUUAAACAAUAAAAACAACAAGCGAAAAGUGAGAAAAAUUCAAAAGAACUUAAAAAAUGGAAUCAUCAAAGAAGCUUGUUGCAGUGUUUCUUGUGUGCAUGGUUAUGUUAUCAUCAUCUCUGCAUGUUUCCAAGGCUCAUGAACAACAAAAAAGUAACGCAGAAAUAUUUAAAGAAUCUGUUGCGAGGGUUACGGCUGAAUAUACAAUUUGCUUCAACGAAUGUGAAAAGGCAUGUAUUGAUCAAGGUCUUGGAUACACUCAUUGUGAGAUGAAGUGUGACAGCGACUGUAAUGCCAAGUUGAUAAAAGAAAAACUCGAGAAAUUGAUGAGUUUGAAGCCUUGAAGAUGGACCAAAGGAUGCAAAAAUAGCAAAUAUAUAGGGAAAGAAGAAUAAAGCAAUGGUUUUUCAUUUCUACUAAUUAGUUAAUUCUUUUUUUUUUUUUUGCCAUUGUACGAGCAAUUUUAAUGAUUUGAUAAACUCGUUUGUUUUUCCGAUUAUUCAUAUUUCUCUCGAGUCAGUCGCAACAAAAUUCUUAAUUUAAUUUUAUUUUCCA